UACAGAGGGUGCGAGCGUUAAUCGGAAUUACUGGGCGUAAAGCGCACGUAGGUGGCGACGUAAGUCGGGUGUGAAAGCCCCGGGCUCAACCUGGGAAUUGCAUUCGAGACUGCAUUGCUGGAGUACGGAAGAGGAGGGCGGAAUUCCCGGUGUAGCGGUGAAAUGCGUAGAUAUCGGGAGGAACAUCAGUGGCGAAGGCGGCCCUCUGGUCCAGUACUGACACUGAGGUGCGAAAGCGUGGGUAGCAAACAGG
rnacentral:rRNA from 1 species